AUCAUUUGUCUUGUUUAGUUCACUUGUAAAAUAAAGUUGUCACAUCUAUAUUUUUUGUCGUCUGCUUUUAGAAAUUGCUACCUCAAUUCCAAUUAAGAGGAGUAUAUAUAGAUUAUUAUAUCAAGCUUAUUUUAGACAGAAUAAUUUUUAGAGGUUGACGGAAGUGUUUACAAUAGUGCUUUAAAAUGUGAUAAGGUGAAAUGGCUAGUAGGAUGUCAAAUAAAAGUUUGAAUCCUAAAUUAAUAGUAUCUACUAUUGAACCUUUUCUGUAUUCAUGUUGACGAUCAAUAUUUUAUAGUCACUGAAAGUUUAAGGUAUCUAGGCUACUUGAAUUGUGUUUGUAUUCUCAGUAAAUAAUAUUGGUGAGCAGUGAGUUGAAGAAUCUAAGUAAUACUUCAACUAUCUUUUUCAAUGACUGAUGCUCAUAUGUUAAAACUUGUGAAUCCUACUUGUGAGCUCAAUAAUUUGUACAUAUCAUAGUCAUCAAUUCAAUGUAAAGAAAAAUAUUGAAUAUGUACUAACAGUUUGGUAAAUCCGAAUUUGAAGUCUAUAAAAAAUACUAUAAGCCUGGCAUAUAUAAUCUGAAACAGUGACUCUCCUUCCUUCUCUUGUGUGAUCAUUAAUUAGUGUUCCUCUUAUGUCAAAUGGGUAUGAAAAACUUGGGAUUUUGAUUCAUGGGAAUGUUUGGGCUUGCGAGUAUGGAAGGUUGUCAGCCAGCUAUAGUCACCUUCAACACAUUAAUGGAUGCUUAUUGUCGCAAUUAAUAUGAAUUAGAGGGAUUGUCAAGAGAGUUAUCUCAGGUAUAGAUAAUCAGUUUGACGAUCACUCAUUGUAGACGAGAUUGACAUUCAGUGAAGGAUCGGUAAGACUCCAGCUCAUUCGGAGUGCAGCCGAGUUUAUGAGUCAUCGUGUCAGAGUUUUACUACAUACUUAUGUGUCAGCGGUACCCUAUCACAUUUGAUGUCAAAUAAUCUUAGAGGCUUUGUAGACAAAGGUUCAUGUUGUACAGUAUGUCAGAGGCCUUGACGGCCCAUAUGUAUUAAUAUUUUGUGAACGAUGGUUCAUUAAUAUAGCAUUUGCCUACUUA